rnacentral:sRNA from 1 species
CUGAGCAAAUCAUACAGACUUUCCUCAACAUGUUUACCAGAGAGCAGUUAGCCGAGAGCAUCCUCCACGAGGGCAGCACGGGCUGUCGGGUGGUGGAGAAGUUUCUGAAGAUCCUGCAGGUGGUGGUCCAGGAGCCAGGCCAGGUGUUCAAGCCCUUUCUCCCCAGCAUCAUCGCCCUGUGCAUGGAGCAAGUGUAUCCCAUCAUUGCCGAGGUAGGGGCUCAGGCGGUCCCCUGUGCGGCACCCCCAUCUCGAGAUUGGGAAGGGAAUGAGAUUUCGCAGAAAAUGCAUUGUGUUUUAAAGUUCAUUUGUUAGUUUAAUAUGCUUAUAAAGUAGUUUCUCCCAAGGAAGAAGGCCUUUAGUGUGGUACAGUGUUUUUAUAUUGAUCGAGUUCACUGGAGCUGGUCUAGUGUCAGCAUAGCAGUUAUUCCACAGGGUCAGUUGCUAAGAUCAGGCUCCUGCGGCAAAUUUUAUACCUUUAAGAGACUCUGGUUUUCUGUAGCAAACAUUCUAACAUAUGCACUUUCCUAUUAGAAACUUUCAUGGUCUCGAGGAUACAAGGC